AGAAACACAUGAGCCAGCAGAAACUUCCGAAGGAACAGAUGAGCUAGCAGAAAAAACUCAAAGAACAGAUGAGCUAGCAGAAAAAAUUCAAAGCAAAAAAAACCUAACACCAAAAACUCAAGAUACAGAUGAGCCAGCAGAAACAACUCAAGUUGACAAUACCAAAAACAAUACAAAGAAGUCUCCAGUUAAAGACCCAAAAAACAAUAAAU
rnacentral:lncRNA from 1 species